GAAAGGGUCCUUCGGGACCUGAGUAAAGUGGCGCACGGGUGAGUAACGCGUGGAUAAUCUGCCCUUCAGUUGGGAAUAACUCAUCGAAAGGUGGGCUAAUACCGAAUAAUGCUGUGAGACCUCGGUCGAUCAGCCAAAGAGAGCCUCUGCUUGCAUGCCCUUGCUGAAGGAUGAGUCCGCGUACCAUUAGCUAGUUGGUAGGGUAAUGGCCUACCAAGGCGACGAUGGUUAGCUGGUCUGAGAGGAUGAUCAGCCACACUGGAACUGAGACACGGUCCAGACUCCUACGGGAGGCAGCAGUGAGGAAUCUUGCGCAAUGGGGGAAACCCUGACGCAGCAACGCCGCGUGAGUGAGGAAGGUCUUCGGAUCGUAAAGCUCUGUCGGAUGGAAAGAACCGCAUAGGGGUAAAUAACACCUAUGUCUGACGGUACCAUCAAAGGAAGCACCGGCUAACUCCGUGCCAGCAGCCGCGGUAAUACGGGGGGUGCAAGCGUUGUUCGGAAUUAUUGGGCGUAAA
rnacentral:rRNA from 1 species